UGGCGGACGGGUGAGUAACGCGUGGAUAACCUGCCGUAUACUGGGGGAUAACACUUAGAAAUAGGUGCUAAUACCGCAUAAGCGCACAGUCUCGCAUGAGACGGUGUGAAAAACUCCGGUGGUAUACGAUGGAUCCGCGUCUAAUUAGCUUGUUGGCGGGGUAACAGCCCACCAAGGCGACGAUCAGUAGCCGGCCUGAGAGGGUGAACGGCCACAUUGGGACUGAGACACGGCCCAAACUCCUACGGGAGGCAGCAG
rnacentral:rRNA from 1 species